UAACACGUAGGUAACCUGCCCAUGUGUCUGGGAUAACUGCUGGAAACGGUAGCUAAAACCGGAUGGGUAUACGGAGCGCAUGCUCUGUAUAUUAAAGCGCCCCUCAAGGCGUGAACAUGGAUGGACCUGCGGCGCAUUAGCUAGUUGGUGAGGUAACGGCCCACCAAGGCGAUGAUGCGUAGCCGGCCUGAGAGGGUAAACGGCCACAUUGGGACUGAGACACGGCCCAAACUCCUACGGGAGGCAGCAUG
rnacentral:rRNA from 1 species